rnacentral:sRNA from 1 species
UUGCUUUGUAUAGCUGGGAGGAUUUGAACCGAUAAGAGGUUCGACCGAAGCCCACGCAGUGGGUUGAGGAACGCCGGAGCCACGCGACGGCGACCCCGAAGGGGUGAGGGCCUAAGGCCCGAAUAAUCCUCCCAGCCGCGCCA